ACCAGUAAAGGCCAAAACACGGGUAACCGUGUGACGGAAAGCCUACGGGUCCACGAGACGGAUUCGAUUUUUGACGGAGACCAAGGCGGCGAGGAGGAGGCGACGGAGGCGUACCUGAAGGUACGUUGAGGAGCCCCGCACGAGCCAACGCCGGUAUACGUCAGAAGGCGAAUCCGGCCGAUGGAUGGCCGGGUUGCCUGG
rnacentral:ncRNA from 1 species